rnacentral:rRNA from 1 species
GACGAACUCUGGCUGCGUGCUUAACACAUGCAAGUCGAACGUAUUGGCGAACGUGUGAGUAACACGUUGUUGACCUGCCCUGCACUUCGGCAUAUGUCUGGGAACCUGGGUCUAAUACCGGGUCGUGUGGGAUGGGCCCGCGGCCUCUCAUCUUGUCGGUUGGGUAAGGGCCUACCAAGGCGGUGACGGGUAGCCGGCCUGGGAGCGUGGACGGCCAAGCUGGGACUGAGAAACGGCCCAGACUCCUACGGGAGGCAGCAGGCGGGAAUAUUGCAAUAUGGGCGGAAGCCUGAUGCAGCGAGGCUGAGUGGGGGAUGACGGCCUUCGGGUGGUGAUCGCCUUUCACCAUCGACGCGGUAGAUGGAGAAGAAGCACCGGCUAUCUACGUGCCAGCAGCCGCGGUAAUUC